rnacentral:lncRNA from 1 species
GUCGUCCACACUUCGGACAAUAACUCAAAAACACUUUCACCAAUUUCCAUGAAACUUAAGUGAAUUGUUUAUAUCUAUUGACGUAAGCUCCUUUUGUUUUUUUUUAAUUUAGAUUUUAAGUUUAGAUUUAUGGGGCUUAUUCAUAAAAAAGGUGGGAUUUUCAACACUUCGGACAAUAACUCAAAAAGGCUUUCACCAAUGUCCAUGAAACUUUGGUGAAUUGUUUAUAUCUAUUGAUGUAAGCUCCCUUUCAAUUUUAUAAAUUUCAGAUUUUAAGUUUAUGGAUUUAUGGGCUUUAUUCAUAAAAAAGGGGGAUUUUCAACACUUUGGACAAUAACUCAAAA